CCUUAGAGCAUGAAGACAAGGAAUG
rnacentral:piRNA from 1 species